GGUACAUGUAUUACAAGCUGAGGAAGAAGAUGGAUCCCAGUGACGCUGAGUGGCUCAUUGUUACUGGGAAAUCCAGGAGAAAAGCUACUGCUAUUCCUGCAUCCCAGGAGACUGAGACAAAGACUAAACCAAAGAAACGGAAAAAGAAAGCUGUUAAGAAAAUUUAAGUGGCAGACACAAAGGAGGAGGAAGAAGAUGAAGAACCGGUAAAACCUCCUAAAAAGCCUGCCAAGAAACCUUCCAAGAAACCUCUCCGUAAACCUAAGAAACGUGCUGUGUCUAAAGUUUCUCAGCUAGAGGAGAGUGAAGCUGAAGAAGCUGACACAGAGGAGAGUGAAAUCGAAGAAAUGGAAGAGCAGCC